rnacentral:lncRNA from 1 species
AAACAACGAGAAGGCCAGGGGAACAAUCUGGUUUCAAUAGGGUAUUGCUAUGGUCACUACAUAUUAUUCGAUGAUACUCAGACCACCCUUCUUCGAUGCAUUAUUUGUCUUUCCCUUUUCCCCUUUUGGUUGCAAACCGGCUACCGUGGUACAAGGUUGUUCUUCCAGGAAGAAGGCAAGCGAACACACUCCAGCCCUCUUGAUUCUCUACCAGACAGUCAAGCAUCCAUCUUCAAUGACAGCAAUAACUAGUAGCUUGUAAGACAAACAGAGAGCAAGCCAAGACCAUGGCGAAUAAAAGUCUAUAUAACGGAACAUAAUUGAAUGCCUUCGUAGCAAUAACAUCAUCUCAUACAAACGAACUUGCAACGCUUUGCACACUUUGAAUUCGACAAUCA